CGGGUGAGUAAUGUAUGGGGAUCUGCCUGAUGGCGGGGGAUAACUACUGGAAACGGUAGCUAAUACCGCAUAACGUCGCAAGACCAAAGAGGGGGACCUUCGGGCCUCUUGCCAUCGGAUGUGCCCAGAUGGGAUUAGCUAGUAGGUGGGGUAACGGCUCACCUAGGCGACGAUCCCUAGCUGGUCUGAGAGGAUGAUCAGCCACACUGGGACUGAGGCACGGCCCAG
rnacentral:rRNA from 1 species